AGAGUUUGAUCAUGGCUCAGAACGAACGCUGGCGGCGUGCUUAACACAUGCAAGUCGAGUGCGCGUCUGUAGCAAUACAGAUGGCGCACGGCGCACGGGUGCGUAACACGUGGGUAACCUGCCCUUUAGUGGGGAAUAACCUCGCGAAAGCGAGGCUAAUUCCGCAUAAGAUCCGCAAGGAUGAAAGCCGUAAGGCGCUGAUGGAGGGGCCCGCGCACGAUUAGCUAGUUGGUAGGGUAACGGCCUACCAAGGCUAUGAUCGUUAGCUGGUCUGAGAGGAUGGCCAGCCACACUGGAACUGAGACACGGUCCAGACUCCUACGGGAGGCAGCAGUGGGGAAUCUUGCACAAUGGGCGAAAGCCUGAUGCAGCGACCCGCGUGGGGGAUGAAGCUUCUCGGAGUGUAAACCCCUUUCGACCCGGACGAAUACCUCGCAAGAGGGGUGACGGUACGGGUAUAAGAAGCCCCGGCUAACUACGUGCCAGCAGCCGCGGUAAGACGUAGGGGGCCAGCGUUGUUCGGAAUUACUGGGUGUAAAGGGUUCGUAGGCGGUGUGGCAAGUCGGGAGUGAAAUUUCUGGGCUCAACUCAGAGACUGCUUCCGAAACUGCUGUGCUUGAGUGUGGGAAGGCGCGUGGAAUUGCAGGUGUAGCGGUGAAAUGCGUAGAUAUCUGCAGGAACACCCGUGGCGAAAGCGGCGCGCUGGACCACUACUGACGCUGAGGAACGAAAGCUAGGGGAGCAAACAGGAUUAGAUACCCUAGUAGUCC
rnacentral:rRNA from 1 species